AUAUAACUAGACGGACUAUUCAGUAUACGGUAAUACAUGCCAGCUGGUGAAGCUACUACUAAAAAUAAGGUCUAUACGUAAUAUACAAGUUACUUGGCGAAAAAUUUGCAUUUUUAUUUUAAGUGUAAGUUGGAUAAACGUUACAGAGCAUGAAAAACCAAGAAAACAAAAAAUACAAUUCAAACUUCUUUCCUCAUCGCCAUUGUUGCCGAUAAUCAAUUAUCACAGUCUUACGUAUUGUGUAUUUUCCUCCUAAUCGACUACUUCCAGUUUCUCCAGAUUCUAUCACACUAUUCAUCAUUCUGCCACUGGAUCAUUUGCAUC